rnacentral:rRNA from 1 species
GCAAAACGCGAAGAACCUUACCCACCUUUGACAUGUACGGAAUCCUUUAGAGAUAGAGGAGUGCUCGAAAGAGAGCCGUAACACAGGUGCUGCAUGGCUGUCGUCAGCUCGUGUCGUGAGAUGUUGGGUUAAGUCCCGCAACGAGCGCAACCCUUGCCAUUAGUUGCUACAUUUAGUUGAGCACUCUAGUGGGACUGCCGGUGACAAACCGGAGGAAGGUGGGGAUGACGUCAAGUCCUCAUGGCCCUUAUAGGUGGGGCUACACACGUCAUACAAUGGCUGGUACAAAGGGUUGCCAACCCGCGAGGGGGAGCUAAUCCCAUAAAGCCAGUCGUAGUCCGGAUCGCAGUCUGCAACUCGACUGCGUGAAGUCGGAAUCGCUAGUAAUCGUGGAUCAGAAUGUCACGGUGAAUACGUUCCCGGGUCUUGUACACACCG